UACACCGUAAUGGUGUGUUUGACUAACAGAAUCCCUUCUAACUGAACGUAAACACUACUAGCAAAUGUGCCACUCAGAAAAAGUCUCUUUAUCUCUUUAGUUCACUACAAAAGUCGCUUUAACAAGUGCAAACAAAACCUGCGGUGCAUUUCUUGCCAGAAUUGCCGUGGACCAAAAUGCUCUAGGUUUUUUUUAAUAGUACUGUAAUCAGCUAACCCGAAUGGGAGUUUCUCGGAAGACGCAGGGGCGGACUGGCAUCAAAAAGCGGCCAGACUGUAAAUGAACCUACUGGAAUGUUAAUAUUGGUAUAAUGUAUACAUUUCCGUGUUAUAAAUGACAUUACCAUUAAAAAACUAUUUCUGAAUAGAGGGCACGGAAUGGACUGUUAAAUACACCGAUUCAAGCACAAAUAUGAGCAAAUUAAAUAUAGAAAAGAAAUUUGGAAUAUCCUAUUUAAAUGUCACCUAGGGAGAUCGAAUUUUCUGUGUGGAUUGCCAUACAAAAGCAAAGAUCAGCAAAAUUAAAAGCAAUUAAUGCUAAUGAUUAUAAUGACCUAGAUAUUUUAAAUAUAGUCGGAUGUAGCUGAUAACAUUUCUUUUAUUUUUGUCUAAUAAUACAAGUUGUCCACACUACUCAUUUUCACCUACGUUCAGAAAUUCUACAGUUGUAUGUAAUGUUACCACUAGAGGGCGCGUUACAAAAAUAAUUGUGUGGGGCAGGGGGAGGAUUGAUCGCUAGACAAGUAAUAUUCACGUAAAACAAUUAAACAAAGAACUCCCGUUGCCAUUAAUAAUAGUUAGAGACAAAAAUAAACUACAUAUCUAUUACCAGAUCUAAUUAACCAAACAAAGUUAAUGACGAUACUAAAGUAUAAUUCUACCGUCGAGUGUGGUUUGUAUUUUUGCACGUUUUCUUCAAAUAUGGAUGUUGGGAACACACAUAUGAAUAUUAACAAAUGUAGAGACUGUUGAUUCAUUAUAGAACGUGAAUUGUUUAAAUGUGAAAUCAGGGAUCCAUGCAGUUGAGUAACUUAAUACUCCACACUUUUGCUGUACACUGUGUAAACCUAGAAAUAUGUUACUAAUUAAAAUGUUCUUCCAAAAGAUGGAUGUGAUCCACCCUACAAUACAGCUCAGACUGAAAGCCUGAUGAGACAACGCAUGUUGAAAAGAAUCACUUUUUUCCACAUGUUGGCUGGACAUUUCUGCUCGUCCAAGACUGCGGUUCAGAUCGAUGUUCCCAUGCAUAGCAACGGCACCGGAGGCUCCGUCCAAAUUUGGCAUGCGACUGCGGGGUGGGCCGUGUGUGGGAGCCGCGGCUGUGCGUCACGGGCAGGCUGAUCCCGGGAGCUGCAGCGGGGGCAGACCGCGUCGGCAAUGAUGUCAAGGCGGCGAAGGCAGGUACCUCCCUCGGCUUUCAGUGGGGGCAUGCGGAUCCAUUUACUUUUACUAUGCUUUGACUCUGACACCGAAACAAACAAAAAACAUUUAUUAUUAUUUAUUAUUAUUAUUAUUAUUAUUAUUAUUUAUUAUUAAUCAUUAUUAUUAAUGAGAGGCUUUCAGUGGAAGGGUACAGAGUGAAUGCAUGCGGAGCAGGCGUCUGUACAGCUGCGUUAGAAAGAUCCUUAGCAAUGAAAUGCUAAACUGAAUUAUUAAAUAUACUUCGUUCUUCAUGUAAUUAUAUACCUGAGGCAAAUGAUAUAUCUCACAAUGUAUCCGAUGGGGAAAAAUAGCUUUAAUAGUGCGAUUUCAGUAAAAUGGUAAGCAGUAUUGGUUUGUAGACUCAGAAAAAUAUAUUUAGAAAUCAAUUAAACUACAAUUCGGGCAAAUACGACGCUUUAACUUAAGACCUUAUGGGGGCAACAUCGGCCUGGGCAUACAAAUUUAUAUAAUUAAGCCACGGAUAAAACUGAAAGAGAGGCUUACAUUUGUCCAUUUGUGUGAGUGAGUGGGAGUUGGUAAUGAUCACUGUGCGUCAAAGACCUCAUUUUGUAGAAUUGGGGAUACAGAUUUUUUUGAGGGGAAGGGUGGCAUAUGAAGUAGAAAUCAAUGAAACCAAAUAGAAUGGGUGGUUGUCUGCUUUGUGUUCACCUUCAGAAAUUCAUUACUAGGGAUGAAGUAGGGAAUUUAAGGUCAGAAAGCCAUUUAUAAUCCGUUUUUACUAUGUUUUUACUACUAUACAUAAUUACUGUGUGAAAAUAACGCGGGACAGAGUUCACAAUCAGAUAUGUCCACCGAGACAUCUGUGUCACAUCUAGUAUAAACCAGUAGCAGAUUAGUUUGAAAGACAGCAAAGCAUUGUUUCAUUGCUAAAUGUAGACAAGGAGGGUAAGUUUAUACUGCAAAUCAGAGGCUAAUUAACUUGAGGAAACUGUAAUAUGAGAUUAUACACUGCGAUCGCAGCAUCCAACAAAACUGGAAGGUAAAAACGUUAAGACCCAGCACAAAUGACAGGGGUAUGUUAAACCUGCUGUUUUACAUGCAGUAUGUACCCUGCCCCAGAUAAACUUUACAGAUUUACAGUAAUACAGCUAUGAAAUAAUUUGUAGAGACUAGUGCUUGUUUUAUAAAGUUGAUAAUUUAAAAUGUAAUGUAAAAGUUACCAUCCAACUGGAAUACUCAAGUAACAGGUUUCACUGACCUCAGAAUUAAACCCAUGUUCACAAAAACUGUGACUUCAUGAAUUUUCUGAGGUGCAAAUGUGCAAAAUCCCCAGUUAAGGAAAGCGAAAGUCCUCAUGGGUCACAUGUGCCGUGUGUUGUUUCUCUGUGUAGACAGACAUACCGAUUUUGUUAAUUUCUGGGAGGUGUUAAUGUAUAACUGUUGUACUGUCAAAUAUCCAACAAGAUGUAACUGAAGUGCAAGAUGAAAAGUGAAAAUUUCGUGUGAAAGAUGAGCAAUAAAGGUUAGAAAUGAAAAAGGCAUAUAAAAUGUACAUACCUGGCAAUGUUACAGUGUUUUACAGAAUGCAGACUAAAUUCAUAUGGAGGGUAUGCCCACCCAAUCAAGCUGUGUUUGUACAUUAUGAUUCCUAGCCUAACAAGCCUAUUAGGUAGCUCUGUCACUAAUUAACAAUGAACAAUAAAUAAAUAAAAAUGUAUAUCGUGUAGAAGAUGAUUUGUUUAAAUUGGUGAUGCAGUUCUAACGGAAGCAUUAUUAUUGGAAUGUGUAUACUUCCUGUUGCUUAUGUGCUGACGUAAUCUGAUUGACAAUGAGGGUGGCACACUUCACAUAGAUGAGAGUAGACCAGCAACAACCUCAGAAAUCUGCUUUUCAAUCGUGACAAAAAUGACAGAACCAAGAGUUUAUAAUAGCAUUGUGAUAUGAAAAGUUCAACCAUGAGAGGUCUCCGGUCCGAUGAGCGACCAUGAGAGGUCUCCGGUCCGAUGGGCGACCAUGAGAGGUCUCCGGUCCGAUGGGCGACCAUGAGAGGUCUCCGGUCCGAUGGGCGACCAUGAGAGGUCUCCGGUCCGAUGGGCGACCAUGAGAGGUCUCCGGUCCGAUGGGCGACCAUGAGAGGUCUCCCGUGUGACGAACUACCAUGAGAGGUCUCCAGUUCGAUAAGCGACCAUGAGAGGUCUCCAGUUCGAUAAGCGACCAUGAGAGGUCUCCAGUUCGAUAAGCGACCAUGAGAGGUCUCCAGUUCGAUAAGCGACCAUGAGAGGUCUCCAGUUCGAUAAGCGACCAUGAGAGGUCUCCAGUUCGAUAAGCGACCAUGAGAGGUCUCCAGUUCGAUAAGCGACCAUGAGAGGUCUCCAGUUCGAUAAGCGACCAUGAGAGGUCUCCAGUUCGAUAAGCGACCAUGAGAGAUCUCCGGCGUGACCAGCGACCAUGAGAGGUCUCCAGUUCGAUAAGCGACCAUGAGAGAUCUCCGGCGUGACGAGCGACCAUGAGAGAUCUCCGGCGUGACGAGCGACCAUGAGAGAUCUCCGGCGUGACGAGCGACCAUGAGAGAUCUCCGGUUCGAUAAGCGACCAUGAGAGAUCUCCAGCGUGACGAGCGACCAUGAGAGAUCUCCGGCGUAACGAGCGACCAUGAGAGAUCUCCCGUGUGACGAACUACCGUGAAAGGUCUCCAGUUCGAUAUGUGACCAUGAGAGGUCUCCGGUUCGAUAAGCGACCAUGAGAGGUCUCCGGUGUGAUAAGCGACCAUGAGAGGUCUCCGGUGUGAUAAGCGACCAUGAGAGGUCUCCGGUGUGAUAAGCGACCAUGAGAGGUCUCUGGUGUGAUAAGCGACCUUGAAAGGUUUCCAGUUCGAUAAGCGACCAUGAGAGGUCUCCAGUUCGAUAAGCGACCUUGAGAGGUCUCCGGUUCGAUAAGCGACCAUGAGCGGCUUCUUGUGACCAUUUUACAUGACUGACAUGGAAGCUUUCUUGGGAUUUUUCUUCUAGCCUCCUCGUGCUGUCAGCUUCCUGGUGGAGUCUCUGAGUUCACCAUAACCCUGUACUAGGAACAUGGUCAUGCAAGAUGAAGCAAUGACUUAUUCUAAUGUAUUCUUAUGACAAACAUAUUUAUAUAUAAUAUUUUACUCACGAAUUUGCACGAUUGGUUUUAUUUGAACUUUUAAUGAUUGAACAUUGCAAACAGAUGAGUUUUGUUUAUUCACCCAUUUUUAAUAAAUGAUUGUUCAGUUAGGGCCACAGGGAUGCAGAUCUCAGCAGACAAAAUGUACAUGGAAGGGUUUACACUGAACACUACACACAUUCAUUCACAAAGGGUAACAGGAAGUUACCGGAUCACCUGAUCUGCCAGAGACGUGCAAAGAAACUCAUUCAAACUGUCCACCUCAGGAACUGGGACGCUAGUUGAAGCUCAGUGCUGCUUGGUGUGCCUGUUUUACACCCUACGUAUGUACCCAUGUACUCAAAAUGUUAUAUUACUGUUAAUUCCAUUAAUCAACAUAUUUCUGGUUUAAGCAAGUUUUAUGUCACACAGUCUGGCAACUUAAGAAAGAGUAACACUUAAGACAAUAAAAAGAUGGGAAUACAGAAAGCAAAAGAGAGACAGGUUUGCCCAGUCAGUCCGGCCAUCAUGAAUGAUGCUGAAAGCUGUCUGUUGCCAUGCCAACCCUCAAGAAGCCCUUUGAAAAGGGGCAGUAUCUUGUAUAGGUCAUUCGAAGUCAGAGGCGUCGUCUUCCACUUCCUUCACUGCUUCCUGCUCUUCUGGUUCCCACAUUCUGGGAUUUGCUUUUAUUAAAAUAGAUGAAAGUGUCUUUCACAGAGAAUUUCAAGGUUCAAUUAGAUUUGUUUUCUGGCCUCAUAAUAGUACUGAUGUUCCUCACCACUAGAGGAAGAAAAUUGCUGCAAAAUUCGGCAGGAUUUUUGUUUUUUUAUGAAACAACAGUCUUUUAGGUAAGAAAAUAUUGCAAGUCAACAAAUUGAAAUGUAAAUACUUGUAUAAAUGUAAGAUAUACAUAUGUCUAUACAUGUGUCUUGUAGCAAACUGCCAUUUACUGUGUGAAUUUUGUAGUAUUGAUGUAUCAUAUCUGUACUAUGAAAAACAUAGUAGGCGGUUUUACUUUCCACUGAAACCUGUAUUUUCUUAAAAAAGACAUCAAUAGCUGAAUUUCAGAAUUUUGACGUUAAUAUGCUAAUAAUCACCACAUGGAACGUCAAGCAGCCUCUGCCUGGUUUUCAGGAGCCAUGACGCAGUUUCAGAGAUGCAGUGAGUUUCCAGGCCGCGUCAGAAGGGGAAUCCCUGACACCACUGCACCUAAGUGCCCGCAGAUCAUUCACAUUCAGCCUUUGUCUGUAGUACCGCUCAUAUUUUUUUUCAAAACCACAGACCUCAGUCAGCCACCUCUCCCCUUUUAGUUCAUAUUUUUCAGUGUUUAUAUGUAUCUGUUGUGAUGGCCUUACAUUUGUGAAUAAAACUCACAGCUUUUGGGAACCCCAUGCCGUGUUUAGUGAAAAGAUGAAGCAUAUUCAUUAAUGGCUUCUGAGACCUUAUGCACAGCUCACAAUUUCUGGCGCCUCAGCUUUCACUCCUCCAUCCCUCCAGCCCCCAGGCUCGUAGAGCCUCACCGAUUUGGUUGGAAGACAGACAAACUUUCCAAGGAGUGAAUAAAAGCUGAAAUAUUAAAAGUAACUACUAAGUAAAUUUGUAAAGACUUAGCUCACAGACAACAGCGACUUAUGCUUUAGAGCAUGGUUGUCUCCUGUCCUUGCAAAAACGAUCUUUUAAUGACAGUAACAUCUUUCAAAAACCUACCAUGAUAUAGCAAGUCAGCUUGAUAUGCGAAAUAUUCUAAAAGAGUGUAAUGGAAAACAUAAAUUAAGUUGCUAUAAAGUAUGGAGCAUGUCAAAACAAAUGUGGACAAAUGUGGACACCACUGUCACUAAAGGAUUUGAGUCAACCAUGGAUUUUAGUUGUACAUGCGCUGCCGAUCUGAGUCAGCCGUGUUAAACUAUCAAAGAAUAAAACUGUUCAAGCAAUAAAG